CCUUUGCGAAAGUGUGGCUAAUACCGGAUGACACCAUCGGAUCGCAUGGUCCGGUGAUCAAAGGUGGGGACCUUCGGGCCUGCCGGUUUGGGAUCAGCCUAUGUCCUAUCAGCUUGUUGGCGGGGUAACGGCCCACCAAGGCGACGACGGGUAGCGGGCGUGAGAGCGUGACCCGCCUCAUCGGGACUGAGACACUGCCCGGACACCUACGAGUGGCUGCAGUAACGAAUAUUGGGCAAUGGGCGCAAGCCUGACCCAGCAAUGCCGCGUGCAGGAGGAAGCCCUUCGGGGUGUAAACUGCUGUCAGGGUUUCGCAAGCAAGGCCGGUUAAUAGCCGGCGGCGCUGAGCAGACCCAGAGGAAGUCUCGGCUAACUCUGUGCCAGCAGCCGCGGUAAGACAGAGGAGGCGAGCGUUGUUCGGAAUUAUUGGGCUUAAAGCGCGUGUAGGCGGCUUGGUAAGUGUUCCGUGAAAGCCCACGGCUCAACCGUGGAACUGCGGGGCAUACUGCCCGGCUUGAGGUUGCUAGGGGUGCCUGGAACUCUAGGUGGAGCGGUGAAAUGCGUAGAUAUCUAGAGGAACGCCAGAGGCGAAAGCGAGGCACUGGAGCAAUUCUGACGCUGAGACGCGAAAGCGUGGGGAGCAAACAGGAUUAGAUACCCUGGUAGUCCACGCUGUAAACGAUGCACACUGGAUCUGGCGACUCUGACGGUUGCCGGGUCGUAGCGUAAGCGUUAAGUGUGCCGCCUGGGGACUACGGCCGCAAGGCUAAAACUCAAAGGAAUUGACGGGGGCUCACACAAGCGGUGGAGCAUGUGGCUUAAUUCGAAGCAACGCGAAGAACCUUACCCAGGUUUGACAUGCUUGGAUGCAAUCCGGGGAUAACUCGGUGCGCUGCCCUUCGGGGCGAAACUUGCACAGGUGUUGCAUGGCUGUCGUCAGCUCGUGCUGUGAAGUGUCGGGUUAAGUCCCUUAACGAGCGAAACCCCUAUCGUUAGUUGCCAGCGCGUAAUGGCGGGGACUCUAGCGAGACUGCCGGCGUUAAGCCGGAGGAAGGUGGGGACGGCGUCAAGUCAUCAUGGCCCUUAUGCCUGGGGAUGCACACGUGCUACAAUGGCGUAUACAGAGCGACGCAAGACCGCGAGGUGGAGCAAAUCGCACAAAGUACGCCUCAGUUCGGAUUGGAGUCUGCAACUCGACUCCAUGAAGUUGGAAUCGCUAGUAAUCGCGUAUCAGCUACGACGCGGUGAACGUGUUCCUGAGCCUUGUACACACCGCCCGUCAAGUCAUGGAAGCCGGUAGCACCCGAAGUCCGCUUAGCUAACCGCGAGGAGGCGGCGGCCGACGGUGAGACUGGUAACUGGGACUAAGUCGU
rnacentral:rRNA from 1 species